CCAGAGAUGGAGCGUUCCUUCGGGGACAAGGUGACAGGUGGUGCAUGGUUGUCGUCAGCUCGUGUCGUGAGAUGUUGGGUUAAGUCCCGCAACGAGCGCAACCCUUAUUACUAGUUGCCAGCAUUUAGUUGGGCACUCUAGUGAGACUGCCGGUGACAAACCGGAGGAAGGUGGGGAUGACGUCAAAUCAUCAUGCCCCUUAUGACCUGGGCUACACACGUGCUACAAUGGCGUAUACAACGAGUUGCCAACCCGCGAGGGUGAGCUAAUCUCUUAAAGUACGUCUCAGUUCGGAUUGUAGGCUGCAACUCGCCUACAUGAAGUCGGAAUCGCUAGUAAUCGCGGAUCAGCACGCCGCGGUGAAUACGUUCCCGGGUCUUGUACAC
rnacentral:rRNA from 1 species